AUUGAACGCUGGCGGAAUGCUUUACACAUGCAAGUCGAGCGGCAGCGCGGGGGCAACCCUGGCGGCGAGCGGCGAACGGGUGAGUAACACGUGGGCAACCUGCCUGUAAGACUGGGAUAACAUCGAGAAAUCGGUGCUAAUACCGGAUAAUAAAAAGAACUGCAUGGUUCUUUUUUGAAAGAUGGUUUCGGCUAUCACUUACAGAUGGGCCCGCGGCGCAUUAGCUAGUUGGUGAGGUAACGGCUCACCAAGGCAACGAUGCGUAGCCGACCUGAGAGGGUGAUCGGCCACACUGGGACUGAGACACGGCCCAGACUCCUACGGGAGGCAGCAGUAGGGAAUCUUCCGCAAUGGACGAAAGUCUGACGGAGCAACGCCGCGUGAGUGAUGAAGGUUUUCGGAUCGUAAAACUCUGUUGUUAGGGAAGAACAAGUGCCGUUCGAAAGGGCGGCACCUUGACGGUACCUAACGAGAAAGCCACGGCUAACUACGUGCCAGCAGCCGACGG
rnacentral:rRNA from 1 species